rnacentral:rRNA from 1 species
AGAAUCAACGCUGGCGGCGUGCCUAACACAUGCAAGUCGAACGAGAAAGGGGAGCAAUCCCUGAGUAAAGUGGCGACCGGGUGAGUAACACGUGACUAACCUACCUUCGAGUGGGGGAUAACUCCGGGAAACCGGGGCUAAUACCGCAUAACAUCCUUGGAUCGGAAGAACUGGGGAUCAAAGGAGCAAUUCGCUUGAAGAGGGAGUCGCGGCUGAUUAGCUUGUUGGCGGGGUAAUGGCCCACCAAGGCGAUGAUCGGUA